GGAAGUGUUUUGGGUGAAUGAGGGUUAAGUUCAGCCUGUAGAACUCAGAAGUUUUCAGCACCCUCUUCUCAAACUCUUCAAGCUCAAUGGGGCUCUCCAAGAGCUGCCACUCCUCCUCAUCAGGAUAGUGAGAGUUAAUGAAGUUCUCAGGGUCCGUCAGGAAAUAAAACUCCUCAUAUCUGAAAUUGUAUUUCUGUUUUAGACAUGCAGCAUGUGAUUGUCAUGAUCACAGCAUGCAGUAAUGUGUAUAUAACUGUACAUCUGAAAUUAAUAUAUAAUAUGUAAAAAUCCUGUCUCACCUCUUUAUGAAUGCUCUGUUGUCCAGGUCCACUCUUCCAGCGCCCCAGCAGGCAUCCAGCAAGUACCAGUAUCCAUCCAGAAACACUGCAUUCCACAUGUGGCUGGAUUUAGUGUUCUGAUGUACUGUACAGUUCCCACAAGUUCAUACAGUUGUCAAUCAGAAUAACCACAGACGCUGGAGUAACCAGAGCACACACCUCGUCCGGUCAAAAUGACCAGCUCAGGUGAGCAAACCUUCUCAGUGAGGCCCAGAUAUCCUUCCACAUCAUACUCUACAGGUAACAGACAAAACAGUAUCUCCUAACAAUAACUUAGUGUUAUCGAAUCAGACAGUUUUCCAUGAACUUUUCAAGUUCUGCCACUUAAACAUUCAGAAUUAUUUUUUUUCAUACAUCAGCUAAUGGUACACACUACAAAAUGCUGGGUUAAAAACAACCCAAGUUG